rnacentral:rRNA from 1 species
GAUGAACGCUAGCUACAGGCUUAACACAUGCAAGUCGAGGGGUAACGAGAGGAAAGCUUGCUUUCCUUGUCGACGACCGGCGCACGGGUGAGUAACGCGUAUCCAACCUGCCCCCAACUAGGGAAUAACCUUGCGAAAGUAAGACUAAUACCCUAUAAUUUCCUCAGAUGUCAUCUGACGAGGAAUAAAGAUUUAUCGGUUGUGGAUGGGGAUGCGUCUGAUUAGCUUGUUGGCGGGGUAACGGCCCACCAAGGAAACGAUCAGUAGGGGUUCUGAGAGGAAGGUCCCCCACAUUGGAACUGAGACACGGUCCAAACUCCUACGGGAGGCAGCGGUGAGGAAUAUUGGUCAAUGGGCGGAAGCCUGAACCAGCCAAGUAGCGUGCAGGAUGACGGCCCUAUGGGUUGUAAACUGCUUUUAUACAGGAAUAAAGUUAGCCACGUGUGGUUAUUUGUAGGUACUGUAUGAAUAAGGACCGGCUAAUUCCGUGCCAGCAGCCGCGGUAA